GUCAGGCAUUCCCCCCUCACCUCCUGCCUUGCUGCCAUUUGCUUGCCAAAGCCUGACUUCCUUCACUCACCCCUCAUUCUGCGCAUGGGCUGGGGUUCGGGGGCCUUCAAGUCACCGAGAGUCUUGUACAUGCCUUUCCACACAUUGUCUGCUGUUUGAUCUCCGCUUCCACGCGGCUGGCGGUUGUCCCAGCACCGGGUAGAACCUGCUUCUGUACUUCCCCACCCACGUGUGACGCCAUCACCAUCAAGUGCAAGUUUCCCCCCACAUGUAAAACCAUAUAGGAGAGUCCUCUGCUUGGUAUUCCCUCCAUCUGGAACUCUCUCAUCCCACCUGAUACUACCUUCUGGAACUUCCGGUCUUUGUUCAAAUGAGUGUUCUACUCCUUUGAGUAAAUACGGAGAAGAAUGACCACUGGGCUACAUGGUGAUGGACAAUCAGUUGUGUCCACAAGAGGAGAUACAAGAGCAGCGCAGGAGAACAAGGAUUAUCAUAACCAUGGUCCCUGAGUGACAAGUCACUGGAUGCCAAGAGGGUUCACCCAAGUGGAUGGGGUGUCGAGCCAGAGGCAAGACCUGCAGGCAAGUGCCUUUAAUGGGGGUCUGGCUGUACUUAAGAAAGGUGCAAGGCGA